AGUGAACGCUGGCGGUAGGCCUAACACAUGCAAGUCGAACGGCAGCACAGUAAGAGCUUGCUCUUACGGGUGGCGAGUGGCGGACGGGUGAGGAAUACAUCGGAAUCUACUUUUUCGUGGGGGAUAACGUAGGGAAACUUACGCUAAUACCGCAUACGACCUACGGGUGAAAGUAGGGGAUCUUCGGACCUUGCGCGAUUGAAUGAGCCGAUGUCGGAUUAGCUAGUUGGCGGGGUAAAGGCCCACCAAGGCGACGAUCCGUAGCUGGUCUGAGAGGAUGAUCAGCCACACUGGAACUGAGACACGGUCCAGACUCCUACGGGAGGCAGCAGUGGGGAAUAUUGGACAAUGGGCGCAAGCCUGAUCCAGCCAUACCGCGUGGGUGAAGAAGGCCUUCGGGUUGUAAAGCCCUUUUUGUUGGGAAAGAAAAGCAGCAGGUUAAUACCCCGCUGUUCUGACGGUACCCAAAGAAUAAGCACCGGCUAACUUCGUG
rnacentral:rRNA from 1 species